rnacentral:lncRNA from 1 species
GCAUCCUCAUCUCCACAACCUUCAUUCUCUGAACAUGAGAGUUCUUCACUGGCCAGCACUCUGCCCCAUACAACAUUGCAGGUCUAACCACAACUCCAUAAAAUUUUCCCCUUGAGUUUCUAUGGAACUUUCUUGUCAUAUAGGACUCCUGAUACAAGCCUCCACUUUGACCACCCCGCUCCUAUACGAUGAGUGACAUCCCCGUCAAUCUCUCCGUCCCCCUGAAUCACCGACCCAAGAUAUCUGACACUGUCCUUAUUGGCGAUGACCUGAGAUCCAAUCAUCACGUCCCUACCUACUUCGCUCGGCUUGGUGCUAAACUUGCACUCCAGGUAUUCAGUCUUAGAUCUGCUUAUUUUGAAACCCUUAGAUUCUGAGUGACGUCCCCGUCAAUCUCUCCGUCCCUUUGAAUCACCGACCCAAGAUAUCUGACACUGUCCAUCUUGGAGAUGACCUGAGAUCCAAUCAUCACGUCCUUGCCUACUUCGCUCAGCUCGGCGCUAAACUACCACUCCAGGUAUUCUGUCUUAGAUCUACUUAUUUUGAAACCCUUAGACUCGAGAGUCUGUCUCCAUACCUCUA